ACUUCCGGAAGAGGGGCGACAUCCGCUUUGGCUUCCUGUUCCGGACCCUGAAACUCGCUGUUCGGUACCGUGACCCCGUAUGCUAGGGCCGUGGGAUUAGCUGCCUACAGGUCCCUACAUUUAACGCAGUAGCUCAGCUUCUCCCGGCCCACGAGAGGAUGAGGUACCCUGAGGAGACUCUGCAGCAAUGGUUUUUGAAGACAUCUGGGACACAGGAAAUGCUCGGAGUCCGCUGGUGUUUGCGUUCUGAUGUUGCUGAUGUGUGACAAGGUACCCUCGGAAGCCAACUUCGGGAUGGAGAGUAAGCCUGAAGGAAGUGCAUCGGGGAGGGGCUCUCAGCAUCAAUGCCAGGGGCAGAGGAGGAGAAGCUGAGCUGUGAGAGCCUCCCUGGUGAUACUAUGAUCCCUAUGGGUGUUGAAUGCUGUUUUGGCUACCUCCAGAGUUACCUUGGGAAAGUCAUCUCAUCUUCUGUGAACUUUAUUUUCUUCAAUGGUAACUAAAAGGCAUGGCUAAGAGAGUUCAUGGUUUUGAUGAGUUAUUCUGUGGAUCCAGAAGAUCCUAGAAGGUAUGUGAAUCACAGGAAAAAAAAAUUGGGCCAACUUUUGACUUUUUUUUUUUUUGGACAGGCAGAGUGGACAGUGAGAGAGAGAGACAGAGAGAAAGGUCUUCCUUUUGCCGUUGGUUCAUCCUCCAAUGGCCGCCGCGGCUGGCGCGCUGCGGACAGCUCACCGCGCUGAUCCGAUGGCAGGAGCCAGGUACUUAUCCUGGUCUCCCAUGGGGUGCAGGCCCAAGCACUUGGGCCAUCCUCCACUGCGCUCCCUGGCCAUAGCAGAGAGCUGGCCUGGAAGAGGGGCAACUGGGACAGAAUCCAGCGCCCCGACUGGGACUAGAACUCAGUGUGCUGGUGCCGCAAGGCGGAGGAUUAGCCUAGUGAGCCACGGCGCCGGCCCAACUUUUGACUUUUAAUUUCUCUUUUCCUAUCAAAACAUUAUUCUGACUAGGACUGACUGAAGAAUUUGAGGCCAGCAUUGUUGCAGAGUAGGUUAAGCUACCGCUUGGACAGCAGCGUCCUAAAACAGAGUGCCGGUUGCGUCCCAGCUGCUUCACUUCCCACCCAGUUUCCUGCUAAUGGGCCUGAGAGUCAGCGGAUGAUGGCCCUAGUACUAGGGACCCUGCCACCUACAUCAGAGACCAGAGUGGACUUCUUGGCUUCUGGCUUCUGCCUGGCCCAGCCCUGGUUGUUGUGGCCAUAUGGGGGGUUAACCAGCAGAUGUAAGACCUCUCUGCACGACUCUGUCUCUAUCUUUGUGUCACUCUGCUUUCCAAAUACAUAAAUAAUCUUUUUUUAAAAAGAGUGGAUAUUAUUGACUCCUUUCACAAGGCCACAAAGGGACCUUAGGAAUAGGAAUGUGGAAUUACUUGAAAGGGAUAAAAGAGGGCAAAACCUGUAAUAAGUGAUCACUCCAUGAAGUGAAGCUCCUUAUUUUCUUCUUUAUUUCUAAUUUUAUCCUUAUUUAUUUUUUCCUUGAUGUAUUCUUAAACUUUUUUUUACAGUAGAAUAAAAUAUAGUAUGACUUAACCCCUAGAUUGUGCCAAUACUUCUGUAUCUUUUCGCUUUUACUUUUCAAUUAAACUUCUGACAGCUACAAUACAACUCCUUUCUCUGACUCCCGACUGCCAUCCAUGGGACAUUGUGACAUGAUAGGAAGAUGCUGAGAAUUGAGAAAAGCAACAGAAGGCCAUACUGGGAUGUAGGAUACCUGGUGCAGAUGACAAGAGGAAGGAUCCAUCCCUGGGAUCCACAUGCUUUUUGAUGAGUUUGGAGCCCUUUUUUUUUAUUUUAUUUUGCAAAAUAAUUUUUUCCUACUAAGCAUGCAGCCCUAUGUAUGUAGGUAUCUGUGAAAUCAUGAGAUUGACUGAGGUCUAAACUUGUACGGGUCUUGAUCCUGCAUCAUGUUCCUGUGGUUGGUUGGUAUAUCCAUUGAUUUAAGGCUUUAAAAAGUCUGAAAUUCAUGCUGUUAGUGUUAGCCUUGACCUUUUUCAGUCUUCUUGACUUAUUCUCAGGAGGUCCGUGUGACUGCACCACUGCUACUCUUCUGUUCUCCAGGACUAGGUCCACUAGAAGGUCCACUGUCCUAAUCUUUUCCCAUGGCUCUGUGCACUCGGUCAACAAGUACAGACCACCCAUAUAAAAACACCCUAUACAGACAGCCCCCGUCAGUAGGAUCACCUAUCUCCACAUGAAAAGCAGUAGAGAGCCAGUAGUACUGUUCUCUAUAGGUACACGUGUACUUCAAAUAGAUUAUGGAAAAAUGGAAUUAAAAGAUAUGUUUACCUUGGUGUAAAAGAACUUUGAAAUCAUAUAUAUGAGGAGUUCUCAAAAAGUUUAUGGAAAUAUAUAUUGUGAAAACUCUAUGCAUGGAUUUUACUAUCAUUGUAUCAAAAUAAACAUCUUAUAAUCACAUGUUCCAUGAAUGUUUUGAAGUACUCUGGUACACAUCAGUUCCAGGAGACUCCCAACGUCCCUACCUGCAUCAUGUGCUAGUUUCUGUUCUGCUAAGUGUAUUCAGGGUCUAAGAUCAAGUGCAGGGUCAUGGAAUAUUGUGAUUGCUCAGGUCCGUGCCAUCUGCUCAGGCCUGUUACAGGGGUAAAGAAGGAAAACUGAUACCCCACUGGGAGCAAACAGCAUAUAUAUGAAUAGUGUUUUCCAAAAACAUCGAAGGAUGAGAGAAGGGAAAUAUGCUAUAAAUAUAAAUUAGAGAUGCCACAGUGUAACACAAAAGUUGUCUCUCACUAGUAAAUCUUCUGAAGUUGAAUAUUGUGUCAUGCCCUCUAUCCUAAAUUCAUAUGUGGAAACCUAAUUCCCACAGUGAUAGUAUUAGAAGGUUAGGCUUUGGUAUGUGAUUAGGACAUGAGGGAAAAGUCCUCAUGAAUGAGAUUAAUGCCCUUUAAAAGAGACCCUCUAUAGCUAGCAAGCCCCUUCUGUUCUGUGAGGUUACGAUGGAAGAUGUGUGUCUGUGAAGGAAGCAAGCCCUCCACAUAUACUGACUCUGCCAGACCCUUAAUCUUGGCUAUCCAGCUGCUAGAAUCAUGAAAAAUAAAUUUCUGUUCUUUACAAGUCUAAAGUAUUUUUAUAGUUGCUGAAGCAGACAAAUACUAAGAUCUCUUAUAAACUGUAAGACAGCUAACAGUCUAUCAUGUCGUGUUUGGGUGGCAGAAGUGGGAGGGAUACCUGGGCCCUAAAAUCAAGGUUGAUGUUGUACAGCUUGACUUCCAUUUUCUGUUGCUGGGAUGCAUUUUCCCACUUCCAGAUUCCAGAAGGUGUACUGUUAUCUUUUGUUGGAGGACUAUCAAGAAUCACAAUGAGAGAUUUUUGUUUUGUAAAGUCAUAUCUUCUUUAUGCAAUUUUAGAAAUUAUACCAGGCAAAAAGAAUGAACACCACAAGCAAGCAAACAAUGUUGAAAGAUUUUCAUACCUCCUAUAGGAUGUGGUCUGAUUAAAUUUCACAUUUCUUUCCUUAGGAAUGGGAAACCCAGAGGAGGAAAUCCAAUGCACUGAUUAUUCCAUGAAUAAUAGGGAUAGGUGAAUCUAACUAUGUCCUUUCAACCAUAUGCUGGGACUGGAAUGAUAUCAUGUGAGAAAGACAACUCUGAUUUAUACUUACAACCCUUGAAAAUGAGUAAAUUAUAAGCUUGGCAAACUAUAUUUCCCAAUUUCUAAAAAAUGUUUCGACAUGUAUUCAAAAGGGCAUCAGUGGAAGUACUCUUAACUUGUGACAAAACAGGAAAUAAAUGACAAUGCUAAAAUGUCAUAGUGCCAUAUUACCAAAAUCUCUUUUGUGACUUUUAUUAACAUGCCCCACUGCAUGUGUCUGUGUGAAGUUUCUUGGAGCUUGAGAUCCAAGAGUCACAUACCAUCCAAUUCUUAGAAUUAUUUAGGAGCAUACCAAGUCUACCAAAGUUUGGUUUGUUUAGAGACUGAUAUGAUUUCUUUAUUGACUCCAUUAUGGGGAGAAAUAUGCCUUGGGAGCUGUGCUAACAAUUAACUAUACCAGAAUCAUGGGUGUUAGAUUUCCUAUUCCACUUUUUUUUUAACUUGAGUGUGAAAUGUAGUAUGUGUGGUUUUUAGUUUAUCAGACUAAUUAUGAUUUGCAUCAGUGUACAUUGUCCUGCAGAUUUAAUUAAUUGAUAAAAUACUAGGAAGAACAGUAUUUUUUUUUUACCAUACUAACAUCUCUCAUCAAUUAGAAUUGAAAGGAAAACAAACAGGCAAACAAGCCUUGAGUUUCCUGAAUGAUUGUGCAAACUCCAUGUGAGUAAUGAAUGUCCAGUCAGGAGAUUAAGCCAAACAAAUCCAUAAAUUGGGAGAUUAUCCAGACCAUUCACACUGGCCUUCCCUUGAUUAUACAAAUGGAAUGUAGGGUGAGAAUUUCUCAAAGCAGAGCUGCACUCUGCUGUGUUCUGCCUCGAGUUAUCAGAUUGGAUUUUCUUUACCUAAUGCUUUGUAGACCCGACUGAAGAGGGCCUCGCAAGGUCCCACGUUCUCAUUCAUUGUUUCAGACUCUGUGAAGAUGGUCUGACCAAUGGGACAGGCUUCAUGGUAGCUGAAAGAAACAGCACUUUGGCUGGCGCUGUGGCUCGCUAGGCUAAUCCUCCGCCUGCAGUGGAUUAGCACACCGGGUUCUAGUCCUGGUUGCCCCUCUUCCAGACCAGCUCUCUGCUGUGGCCCAGGAGUGCAGUGGUGGAUGGCCCAAGUCCUUGGGCCCUGCAUCCGCAUGGGAGACCAGGAGAAGCACCUGGCUCCUGGCUUCGGAUCAGCACGGUGCACUGGCCGCAGUGGCCAUUGGAAGGUGAACCAAAGGUAAAGGAAGACCUUUCUGUCUCUCUCACUGUCCACUCUGCCUGUCAAAAAAAAAAAAGAAACAGCACUUUAAAAUGCAAGCCAGUGCCCUGAAUUGACAGAAUUCAGGAUAUUAAGAAAGCUUCUUCUCACCCCCAUAAGGACACAAGACAAGGGCUGAUCAAAUAUAAAAGGAAGAAUUCAGGGAAUAUAACAAGAGAAAUGGCCUCACAGCUCUCUGGGGUGAAAGCCUCCCUGGCUGAUGCACCCCACAGUUGGAGAAGGGGAAGUGGCAUUCACAUGCCCAAGACCCACUCUUCUCAGUGUUGGUCUUCCUGCACUUCAGAGAGAUCUUGAGUGAAUAGCAUCAACUUUGUUGCGCCAGUACCUUGAUCCUUCUCAAACUACUGUCCACUCCUUUCCCUUUCCGCCAGAUUUCACAGUGCCAUGUCUAAGACUAGUGAUAGUCUUGAAUCAACAUGGUCUAAUAAGCUAACAUGUUUCUGUGGGGAGCAGGGCCUGUCUCCUGCAACAUGGCAGGGUGCCCGGGGGACAAAUAAGUACUGAGACUAUGGACAAAUAAGUACUGAAACUACCGAGACUGGACUAGACCACUGAGACUAUUAAGACUAACUCUAUGCACCUGAUCUUCCAUCAUAUGGCGCUGAGAGGGAGUAAACAAAUCUUACACAGCUGCGUCAUUAAUUAGCUGAUUCCUGGCCCAACCCCUUAAAAGGGGGAGAGAGACAACAUGUGCGGCUGCGCCCCCCCUGAGAGAGUCGGCUGGAGAGCUCGCCGGUGCCGCCCCUCCACGGAGGCGGGGGAGCGGCAGCAAACCCGGGAAGGGCUGGGGAAAGAGAACAGCGCAGGGUCCGGGGUCGUUCCUCCGUGAGUGGGGGAGCGACAGUUUCUCAAGCAAUUACAAAGUACAUCACUCUUUAGGGGCAUUGAUUUUACAAGAACAUUUCAGAAAACAGUUAAGUAAAUAAGUAAUAUAAAACAUUUAAUCGCAUGAAUUUGUCAGAUUCAACCAUGAGACCUGGAGGAUAGUUUUCAUCUGUAGAUUGAAAUGUUGACAAACCUUCUGGAGUGUACUUAACUCUCUGGAUAUGAGAAAUGUAUGAGUGGAUAAGUUGAGAAGUACUGAGAAAAAAAGGUACCUUGGGAUCCCUCUAGCUCUACUUUUGUAGAUAAUUAUACACUUUUGUUUCUCCAUUUCACAGCAGAGUGGGAUAUUUCAUUAUUGAAACAGCCACUGAAGCCUGUGAUUACCUGCUUAUCCCCAGGAAUAUACAAAAUUCUGAUGCUAUCUGGCCAAAUUCAGGUGCUCUCAUUGCAUGCUUAUUACAUAAUGUUAACAUAUGAGAAAAACUGAAUAGCUUUCAAGAAUAACUUGGAUAUGCAUCAUUCUAUAGUAGUUUUGUUUUCAAAUAAUUCUAUAUUUACAGAGGGGUUGCAAAAACAAAACAGAAUUCUCAUGUACUCUCCAUUCAGUUUAUCCUAAUGUUAACAUUCUAUAUAAGCAUGAUACAUUUAUCAAAACAGAACUUAAUGUUGGAACCAUACUAUUAAUUAAACUUCAUACUUCAUUCAGCUUUCCAAAGUUGUUUCACUAACAACUUUUUCUAGUCCUGAGAUCAAAUUACUUGUAAUAUCUAGAAGAUUUUUUUAAAAGAUUUCUUUAUUUAUUUGAAAGGCAGAGUUACAGAAGGGCAGAGGCAGAGAGAGAGAAAGAGAAAGUCUUCCAUCUGCUGGUUCACUCCCCAAAUGGUUGCAACGGCCGGAGCCAUGCCAGUCCAAAGUCAGGAACCAGGAGCUUGCUAUGGGUCUCCCACGCCGGUGCGGGGGCCUAAGGAUUUGGGCCAUCUUUUACUGCUUUCCCAGGCCAUAGCAGAGAGCUGGAUCAGAAGUGGAGCAGGUGGGACUUGAACCAGCAUCCCUGUGGAAUGCUGGCACUGCAGGCAGUGACUUUACCCGCUAAGCCACAGUGCCAGCCCCUGAGCUAGAAGUUUUUACUUUUUCUUUUUAUCUUCAAAUAAUUCAGUAGACAUAACAUUACUAUUUUGAAGAGCUUUGAUCUUCCAUUAUUGCAAAAGACUAAUAAUAUUCCACAUUCUUUUAACAAAUAGUGUUAGGCUUUUGCAUUGAAUCAGUGGCUGCUUUAAAUCAGUAAUAAAUUUACUGUGUAAAAUUUUAAACUUAAGCAUCACAGAAAGAUGGGCUAAAACACUGUGACUAUUUCAAGGUAGUAUAAAAUUUCUUUCCUUCUAGCAAAAAUUUUUUUCACCUAGGAAAUGAUUUUCUGAUAAGCUAGAUUUGAUUUAUUACAGAAAACUCUGAAUAAUUUUAAAGGUAUUUUCCGACCCAUGUAACAGUUCAAACUAUGACUCUCUUACGGCACAAAUGUUGAGGUGUUGGAAGCAAAGAUGUAUUGUUACUCAUUUUUGUAUCCUGAACACUGCCUUAAGUUUGAUAAAUAUUUUUUGAAUUAAAGAAUGUAUGAGGCCGGCGCCGCGGCUCACUAGGCUAAUCCUCUGCCUGUAGCACUGGCACCCCGGGUUCUAGUCCCGGUAGGGGUGCCAGAUUCUGUCCCAGUUGUUCCUCUUCCAGUGCAGCUCUCUGCUGUGGCCCAGGAGUGCAGUGGAGGAUGGCCCAAGUGCUUGGGCCCUGCACCUGCAUGGGAGACCAGGAGGAAGCACCUGGCUCUUGGCUUUGGAUCGCUGCUGCGCGCUGGCCGCAACUCGCCAGCCGUAGCGGCCACUUGGAGGGUGAACCAACGGAAGAAGGAAGACCUUUCUCUCUCUUUCUCUUUCUCUCUUUCUCUGCCUGUCAAAAAAAAGAAUGUAUGAAAGUUCCUAGAAUCUUCAGGCUGGGGUGAAUUUGGGAGUUUGAUACUUUCAGGUUAAUCAGACUCCAGAGCCUCACCACUGACUGCCCUGAGUGUUUUGGUGUGAACAGUGUCAGAGUGGUUGAUAGGUGAUGUGUUAGCCAGCUUCAUGGAAAUGUCAUGAACCCAUGUGAAUACUGCCGGAAAACUCGCCAAGUUUUAAAUGUCUAAUACUUCUCUUCUGAAAGAACUAACAAGAGCCCUUACCAUCUCAUAAAUGUGCAAUCGACAUAUGGUAGAAGAAUGUGUCCAUACCACAAAGGCAAACAUCAGAUGAAGUCUUGGUCCCAUCCCUUUGGGUGUAAGCAACUUGCUAAUAAUGAAGGCUUCAUUUUUCUUUUUUUUUCUUUUUUUAUUUUUAUUUUUUUUUUUAUUUUUGACAGGCAGAGUGGACAGUGAGAGAGAGAGACAGAGAGAAAGGUCUUCCUUUGCCGUUGGUUCACCCUCCAAUGGCCGCCGCGGCCGGCGCGCUGCGGCCAGCGCACCGCGCUGAUCCGAUGGCAGGAGCCAGGAGCCAGGUGCUUUUCCUGGUCUCCCAUGGGGUGCAGGGCCCAAGCACCUGGGCCAUCCUCCACUGCACUCCCUGGCCACAGCAGAGGGCUGGCUUGGAAGAGGGACAACCGGGACAGAAUCCGGCGCCCCGACCGGGACUAGAACCCGGUGUGCCGGCUCCGCUAGGCGGAGGAUUAGCCCAGUGAGCCGCGGCGCCGGCCGAAGGCUUCAUUUUUCAAAGAUUUAUUUAUUUAUGUGAAAGGCAGAACAGCAAAGAGAGAGGGAGCAAGAGAGAGAGAGGAAGGGAGGGAGGGAGGGAGGGAGAGAGAGAGAGAGAAAUCUUCCAUCUGCUGGUUCACUCCCCAGGUGACAACCCAGCCAGGGUUGGUCCAGACUGAAGCGAGGAGGAAGGAUUCCAUCCUAGUUUCCCAUGUGAGUUGGCAGGAGCCUAUCCUUCCCAGAAAGCUGAAUCAGCAACCAGGACUCAAACCAGCAUUAUGAUAUGGGAUGCCAGUGAUACAGGUCGCGGCUUAACUCACUGCAACAAAAAACCAGCAAUCAUUUUAGGACUCUAAAUGCGGACAUGUGAAGUGCAGUAGGGCAGAAAUGUAUCCACUGAUCAUGUGCUGGUCUCAGUAUGUUAGUGUCUUGCCACAAUGUCUAACUGACUUCUCCAUGGCCUAGGUUUUUCUUGUCAUUGUCCUGAGUUCAGGGAUUUUUACAAACAUCUUUGUAUGUCCCCUUGGCAGUCUGUGCAGUGACAGUUGUACCUUUGUAUCUGUGGCUUCUGCAUCCAUGGAUUCAACCAACUGCAGAUGGAAAACAUUUGGGGAAAAAUACAUCUGUACUGAACAUGUACAGAAUAAUUUUUCUUGUCACUAUUCCCUAGACAAUACAGUGAAACAACUAUUUAUAUAGCAUUUUUAUUGCACUCAGUAUUAAAAGUCAUCCAGAGAUGAUUUAUAGUAUACGAGAGGAGGUGCAUAACUUCUAUGCAAAUACUACACAAUUUUAGGUAAAGGACUGGAGCAUCUGCAGAUUUUGGUAGGGGCUGGGUGGGAGUCCUGGAACCAAUCCCUCACAGCUACCAAGGGACAACUGGAAUUGUUUAUUUAUUUUGCUUAUUUUUAUUAAUAAUUGCAUUACUAAAAGAAUUCAAAUAGGAAUGCCUUUUAGAAUUGUAAACAAGUCCCUGCCAAGCCAGAAAAUUAAUGUUUGUUUUGUAUUCUCUUCUUUGUAAACUCAGGGGAGUUGAAAGUUUGAAUAGUUUGUCAAGGCUAAUGAAAUCCCGUGAGUGUUUGUUCCUUGCAAGCCUAGUUUAUCCAGGUGGAAUUUGGCUGUACUAUCCAUGAUCUGGGCCUCCACUGUGGAUGCGUUCACACAAUAUAUGUCCUGGAAACUUUAUCCCUAAUGCAGCAGUGUUGGAAGGUGAGGUUUGGGGGGAGAGGGGUUAAGUCAUGAGGGCCCCUCCCUCAUGAAGGGAUCCAUGUAUCUAUGAAAAGGCCUUUAUGGAGUGGGUUCUCUCUCUUCUGCCCUUUGGCCUGCAAGCACACAGCGGGGAGGCCCACAGCAGAUGCCAGCACGUUGAUCCUGGGCUUCCCUGCCUACAGAACUGUGAGAGAAUAAACUUUUCUUCAUAAAUUACCCAGUCUUAGGUGUUCUGCUACAGCAGUAUAAAAUGAGCUAAGACACCUUCACAUAUCCUACAUUUCCCAAAGCACUAAGAAGAGAUCCAUGCGCGAGGGUUCAUGAGCAAAUAUUUGCUUCUUUAAAGACUGAAGUGGGGGGCUGACAUCGUGGUGCAGUGGAUUGAGCCCCUGGCAUCUUGUAUGCACACUAGUUCGAGUCCCGACUGCUCCACUUUGGAUCCAGCCCACUGCUAAUGCCACAACAUUUUCUGGGUCUUCCUUAACACAAACCACAUGUGGAACAAUCUUACACAGAUUUAGGCUUGUAAACACCACACCCAUGCUGGUUAGACCUUGCCACAUGCUCUGCACUCAUUAUCUUGCUGCUUGCAGAAGGCUUCCUAACACACAAUCAUCAUGCGAAGUACAAGGUGGGGUCUUGCGCUUUGGUUCAAGACAUAAGUAACUCUGCAGGAAUUAUUUCAAUCAUAGGCAUAUGACUCAUGGUGAUGACUCACUUAAUGCCAUUUUUUAUUCACACAAAAGCAGUAUGCAGAGUCAGACCUCAGUCUAGUAAGAAAUAUUAAAAAAUGGGUUUCCAUGUAUUUUAUAGAAUUUUUGGUUGUGGUGGUUUAUCAGAUAUCCAUGUAUGUCUAAUUUGUCAUCUUACUAAGAAUUGUAUUUCUCACCUGAGUGAAAUGCACAUUUGUUUUCAGGUAAACUUGUUGUGUUCUUUCUGCUUUCUUGCAUCUCAUUCCUUUCUUGCUUCAACAUUUAUUGUGUACAAAAAUAUUCUGUGGGGAGGAAAAAAUAAGAAAUAUAUGUAAAUCAGUCACCUUCAAGUGCAGCAAUAAGAAGUGGCAUCUCCAUACAUUGUAUACAGUCAUGGAAUCUAUGCUUUCUUUUCAGGUACUGUGGAAUGCUUGGGUCGGGUGGUGCUGAGACUUCACAGGUGUCCGUGUGCCUUUCAAGCAGCAGCUAUUAGUAGGCAAUUACUUGAUGGUUUCUAUUAAUCAGUCCGGUCAGUUUGAACUUGAAGUCGCUUGCUGUUGUGCUCUGCUCCUAAGAGCCGGCAUUUGGUAUCAAUUGCUGAAAUGUCUUCUUUUCCCCUGGCAGCAAUUGAAAUUAAUUUGGUUCUCCUCUUGCUGGCUUACCCUUGUGGAACAUUUUUCUUCUUAGUUCUUGACAAAGUGGUUGUGUGAUCCAUAACUUGUGUUCAAAGCCUUCCUCCAGCAAGGAAGUCAAUCAAAUCCCCAAGGAAGAAAAUGGCCCAGCAGAUACCCCAGGAUUCUGCCUCAGCAGGCACGGAGCCCAAACCCAGAUCGGCUGACCCUUUGUCCUUGUGCUUCUACUCCAUCUGGAUAUUCUCAGUGAGGCUCUUAAAGUGAUUUUUGUGUGAACUGAAAAUUACAUUAAGAGGUUAUGUACUAUAAUAAGAGAAGAGGCUCUGGAUUUGGAUGGGCUGAACUCCACAUUUUGGCUUCAACACUUACUUGUAUGAUGUAGGACAAGUCAAUCUUUCUGUACCUCACUGACUUCAACUGCAAAACCAGAAACUCAAAUACACUGCAGAGACAAUUGUAGUUAGGCAGGCAUACUAAAGUUCUUCAGAAAGUUCACAAAAAAUGUAUAUUAUAAAAAAUGCAUGAUUUAAAAAUUUCUUUACACCGAGAGAAACUUAUCUUUUAAUUUCAUUGUACAAUAAACCUCUUGAAGUCCCCUUGUGUAUGUCACCUGCCAGGAGCUGGACACACAGGGAGAUAGUAGGUGUUUCAUAUAUGCCUACUUUGAAGCAGCCUCUUUCCUGCAGCCUCAACCCAAAAUGAAAACUGGGAUGUUUUGGCAGUCCCUUAAGGAACUGUUCACUCAAAUAGCCUGGCUGAUGGAAGGGACAGAUUUCUUCAAACCCUGCAAAUUGUCACCAGCAGUGAUGUAUAACUAGUGACAUCAAGCACUGACAUGUGGACCAACGGAGCCUGCUGAGGCUAGGGAGGCUUCCUAGGCCUUUGUGUAAUGGCCUUUGUGUAACGUUAAUAGACACAAAAAUGUCUUCUCUAUAAACAUGUUCCAGGUGCACUCCAGAGGCUGUGGUGGUGGUGAGUUUAUUUUUUUUAAUAAAAACUAGUCUGAACCACAAGCACCCAAUUAGAGAGGCUCAGUUAGAUUACUGAAAGCUUUCAGACCUGGACACAAUAGAAGAGGUUUUGAGGGGCUCAAGCAGGGGAAACCAUAAUGAGAAAGACACUGAGCCUGUUUUUAUUCCUAACAGCAGCUUUGUUUGUCCUGUCUCCAAGGUCAGAGCUGUGCUGCUGAGACUGAAUUCAUUUCCCUACAAAGUAUUUUUGUUCCUUCCUUGCAAGGAUUUGUGAAUGGACCCUGAAAUUCAGGGGUCUUGGUUCCCAGGAGUGCAGCAGGUUUGGCAGCUACACAGUGAAUAGCAGUGGACAGUUUCCAGUCUUCACUCAGAUGUCUGAUCCGAUUGCAAAAGACACCAAAACCCCGGGAUGGUUCUGAUUCAGAAGCUUCCCUCUUGACAUGCUGAAAGAGGAAGAGACAUGGGAAAUGGUUAUGUUUUCGUCCUGGUCUGGCCCAUGAGUUCUGGCCCAGAGACUGCCACACGUGCCUUUUAAUUUGUGCACACCCUGAUGUGCAGAUGCAUUCUAAAGUUUGGGAACCCAGGCUGUUCCAGGUCAACACCAUUAAAGUUGGGACUCGACAUGUUCACUGACCUUGCUGGACCUAAGGCAAGCUGCAGAGACCUGAUUACACAUGCCCCUUUCUUGUCUUCUUGUCACUGUCAUUGUUCUCUCUUUGCUGGUGUCCCCAUUGUUGACAUAUUCCAUUAUGUUGUGUUAUUAUCUGAAUUUUUUUUGAAAUUAGAAACAAAGAUAUAUUUGCUUACCUCUGUUAAUGUGGAUCUCAAAGAUGUAUCUGUUCUACCAACCCAUCUUCUUUUCAAGUAGUCUAUUCAGUUCAUAUAUGUUUUCUAAGCAAUAAAAGGUCGCUUUCUCUGUCUUUCCUUCUCUUUGUCACUCUGCCUUUCAAGUAAAUAAAUCUUUUAAAAAAGGAAAGCAAGAUGAUGUGGCUAGGGGUGGGCAUUUGAGCUGGUGGUUAAACCACCACUUCAGAUGCCUGUAUCCCUUUUUAGAGUGCCUGGGUUUGAGUCCUGACUCCAUUCCCAACUCCAGGUUCCUGCUAAUGCACACUCUGGAAGGCAGUAGUUGAUGGAUCAAGUAGCUGUGUCUCUGUCACCCACAAGGGAGACCCGGACUGAGAUCCUGGUUCCUGGUUUUUCAGAUGAUAGAAUAUUUGCAUAUAUACCAAAUGGGAUUUACAGGGGAUGAGAUCCAAGUCUAACUACAAAACUUUUUCACAUAUAGGCUAUACACAGAACUUAAUAUUAAUUUUAUGCAAUAUUUUUAGAAUACCUGCAUUUUGAUUGCAGCCCACCAUAUGAGGUAAGAUGUGGAAUUUACCACUUAUGACAACAUGUCAGCACUCAGAAAGUUCCUGAAUUUUUGAGCAUUUGAGAUUUUUUGGAUUUAGGGAUUAGAGAUGUUCAACCUGUAUUAGAAGAUUUGAUUAUGAUUACUGGAAAGCAAUAGACAUUGCUUUGAAUCUGGGUUUUAUCACUUAAUUGUAGGUGACCUUGUAAUGCUUCUCUAUGCAAGAAUUUUUUAUGGAGUUUAUAAUAUUACUUUGCUUUCAGAUUACAUAAACGUGCAUAUAAAGUCCAUUGUAAAGGUGUUAGAACAUAAUAAUGAAUAGUUUUUAUUAUUAAAAUUUAGUACCUGCCCAUAUAGAUGGUAAUUUCUCUCUGCCAAUCUCAUUCUUUGCUACAUGGGUAACUUCCAUUAAACACCAGUGUCACCCACCGUAUCAAGUUGCAUUCACAGACUCCUACUACUUUUUAAAUAAACUUUCAAUUCUUUGGCCAUGUGUUAAAUGUUCUUUACCUCAAAGGACCGCCUUGAUCCCUGUGUGAGCUUCUACUCCAUGCCUAUUAUCUUUUAAAUUAGUUUUAUUUUUUGUGGCUUGUGAUAUUUGGUUAUGUCACUUCAUUUUCUAUUACUCUCAGUUUUCUCAUCAGCAUAUUGUACAUAAUAAUAAAUUUCUGCCCUGCCUCACUGUGCAGAGAAAAAGUAGCCUCACUAGCUACCAAAGAUCAUCUCUUUGGACACAGCAUCAGCUGCCAGGAGAGCAAUCCAAAACGCUGUGCUCCACACUUAGACCCCCAGAAUGAAGAGAAAGAUUCCUUCACCGGCCAGGGCAAUAGCACCUCUCAGGAAGUUACAGAGAGGACCUCAGAUUUCCAAACAGGUCUGGUCUCCAGCCCAAGGACCCUGAGGAGUGAGGAUGAUUUGACCCACAAUGUCUCCUAUGUCACCCUAUGUCUCUAGUUUUAAAUAGUGCGUAUUUAUGGCAACUUCUCUUUUGUAAAUCUCUCAAAGAUUGGCUCAAAAGUACUCCCAGCUGAGCAUAUUCUUCCUGGCAGUACUUCCAGCUGAGUAUAUUACUCUUGGUAGACUACCUUUCAGAAGCCAAAAGCAGGGCCUGCAAUGUUAUUUAUGGGUCUUUAAGAGGAAAAGAAUUUGUCCAACAGAAAGGCUCUUUAAUUGUAAGGGACAAGUCCAAAGUGUUUAGAACUUUUAACUUUAUCUUGCUUGAAUUAUUACCAACACGUAACAAUUGCAGUCAAUCUAAAGUAUGGCAGUGAUUUUGCAAUAUGGUGUAUAAUGAGGAUUUUGUGGAAAUAUUUGCAACUUUUUAAUAUUCAUGUUUCAAUAGGCAUGCCCUAAAUUCCUCAGCAUAAUUUUGAAUAUAAAACAUAACUACCAGUAGCAAGAGAGUAAUUUGAUAAUUCCAUUGCUCUGCUGUGUUAUCUGUCCUUUCAGAUCUAUCCAAGUAUUAAUGUCACAAGUUCCUUCUAUAAUAUUUUAGCUAAUAUUUCCCUGGUCUCUGAAGAAAAAUCUUGUUAUUUAUCAAUGUAAUUUCAGAUUCACUGUCAGCUCCAGCAUUAAAAAGGUAGAUAGAUAGGAAAAAUAUGUAAAUUCUAUGAAUAUGUUUUUUUCAAAUUUUAAUAAAAUGAAAACACCCACACCUAGAACUUAUAUUAGUCUGUUAUUCCUUUCAGAAUCAUAAAAGCUAUAAAAACCAAUAAUGUGCCUAUCAGCUACUCCUUACUAUGUGGCUAUGUAAUUUGAAAACUGCUAAUUGUGCUAUUCUAUAUUAAUUGUAUUCUCAAUCUCAUUCUACUUCCCUUUAUUUAUUUGAUUUU